rnacentral:rRNA from 1 species
UGUCUAAGUACGAGCUCUUAGUAUAGUGAAACCGCGAAUGGCUCAUUAAAUCAGUCGAAGUUCCUUGGAUAGACGAACUUGAUACUCGGAUAACUGUGGCAAUUCUAGAGCUAAUACGUGCACUUAAAGCCUAGACGUCCCCUGCGGGCGGGGGAAAGAACAGGCGCUUUUAUUAGAUCGAAUAAACCGAGGCGGGAUAAAAUAAACCUGAAGGGGCGUCGGGUGGUCCUCCUCGCGGGGGGCUCUCGUUCACCUCGGAAGCGUUAACCGUCUAUAUAUAUAAAUACAAUUUGGUGACUCUGGAUAAAUAUUGCUGAUCGCAUGGCCUCGCGCCGGCGACGAAUCUUUCAAAUGUCUGCCCUAUCAACUUUCGAAGGUAGGCGAUAUGCUUACCUUGGUUGCAACGGGUAACGGGGAAUCAGGGUUCGAUUCCGGAGAGGGAGCUUGAGAAACGGCUACCACAUCCAAGGAAGGCAGCAGGCGCGCAAAUUACCCACUCCCAGCUCGGGGAGGUAGUGACGAAAAAUAACGAUGCGGGACUCUAUCGAGGCCCCGUAAUCGGAAUGAGUACAGUUUAAACCUUUUAGCGAGGAUCGAUUGGAGGGCAAGUCUGGUGCCAGCAGCCGCGGUAAUUCCAGCUCCAAUAGCGUAUAUUAAAGUUGUUGCAGUUAAAAAGCUCGUAGUUGAGUUUUGGGCGUUGGGCGCGCGGUCCGUCUCACGACGGUCAACCGCGUGGGUGAGAGUGGUCAGACCUUUCGGUCCGAGAGGGUCGUUGGGAACCAUCGCUCUCAACCUUUAAGCCCUGCCUAUCGAGCCGGUGACCUUGGUCGGUCUAAAUACAAAACGUCCGAGGUGCUCUUGACUGAGUGUCUCGCGGCGACCGGCGCGUUUACUUUGAAAAAAUUAGAGUGCUCAAAGCAGGCAUAUAAAAAGCAAGCGAAAAAAAAAUUCGUUGUCGCCUGAAUACUAGCGCAUGGAAUAAUGGAAUAGGAUCUCGGUUCUGCACACAUUGGUUUAAGAACCCGAGAUAAUGAUCGAGAGAASCCGACGGGGGCAUUCGUACUGCGACGUUAGAGGUGAAAUUCUUGGAUCGUCGCAUGACGAACUACAGCGAUAGCAUUUGCCAAGCAGGUCUUCAUUGAUCAAGAACGAAAGUCAGAGGUUCGAAGACGAUCAGAUACCGUCGUAGUUCUGACCAUAAACUAUGCCGACUGGCGAUCGGUCGAAGUUGCUUUCAUGACCCGACCGGUAGCCCUUUACGGGAAACCAAAGUGUUUUGGUUCUGGGGGAAGUAUGGUUGCAAAGCUGAAACUUAAAGGAAUUGACGGAAGGGCACCACCAGGAGUGGAGCCUGCGGCUUAAUUUGACUCAACACGGGAAAACUCACCCGGCCCGAACACCGUGAGGAUUGACAGAUUGAGAGCUCUUUCUCGAUUCGGUGGAUGGUGGUGCAUGGCCGUUCUUAGUUGGUGGAGCGAUUUGUCUGGUUAAUUCCGAUAACGAACGAGACUCUAGCCUGCUAAAUAGCGAACUGAGACAAAUUUUUCCUAAGAGAAAAUUAAAACAAAGCAACAAAGGGGGUGUAGGUGGGUUUGGUCGGGGCGCCUUCGCGGGUGGUUCCGUCCUGCCCUCUCGCUCUCUCGUUCUUAUCCUUAGUUUAUACGUAACUGUGCUUCUUAGAGGGACUCGUGGCGUUUAGCCACACGAGAUUGAGCAAUAACAGGUCUGUGAUGCCCUUAGAUGUUCGGGGCCGCACGCGCGCUACAAUGAAGGAAUCAGCGUGUAUACCCCCCUGGCCCGAAAGGGUUGGGUAAUCAGAUGAACCCCCUUCUUGAUGGGGACUGGAGAUUGUAAUUGUUCUCCACGAACGAGGAAUUCCUAGUAAGCGCCAGUCAUCGAGCUGGCGUUGAUUACGUCCCUGCCCUUUGUACACACCGCCCGUCGCUACUACCGAUCGAGCGGUUUACUGAGGAUCGGAGAUUGGUCGCUGGACCGUUCCAACUCGAGGCCCGCCCCACUAUGUGGAGUGGUAGCUCUCGAGCGUUCGCCGGCGUGCCGAGAACCGCCCCGAAGUGCACUGCUUAGAGGAA